AGUCGAACGGCAGCGCGGGGCAACCUGGCGGCGAGUGGCGAACGGGUGAGUAAUAUAUCGGAACGUACCCAAGAGUGGGGGAUAACGUAGCGAAAGUUACGCUAAUACCGCAUACGAUCUAAGGAUGAAAGCAGGGGAUCUUCGGACCUUGUGCUCCUGGAGCGGCCGAUAUCUGAUUAGCUAGUUGGUGAGGUAAAGGCUCACCAAGGCUACGAUCAGUAGCUGGUCUGAGAGGACGACCAGCCACACUGGAACUGAGACACGGUCCAGACUCCUACGGGAGGCAGCAGUGGGGAAUUUUGGACAAUGGGCGAAAGCCUGAUCCAGCAAUGCCGCGUGAGUGAAGAAGGCCUUCGGGUUGUAAAGCUCUUUUGUCAGGGAAGAAACGGUGAAGGCUAAUAUCCUUCGCUAAUGACGGUACCUGAAGAAUAAGCACCGGCUAACUACGUGCCAGCAGCCGCGGUAAUACGUAGGGUGCAAGCGUUAAUCGGAAUUACUGGGCGUAAAGCGUGCGCAGGCGGUUUUGUAAGUCUGACGUGAAAUCCCCGGGCUCAACCUGGGAAUUGCGUUGGAGACUGCAAGGCUAGAAUCUGGCAGAGGGGGGUAGAAUUCCACGUGUAGCAGUGAAAUGCGUAGAGAUGUGGAGGAACACCGAUGGCGAAGGCAGCCCCCUGGGUCAAGAUUGACGCUCAUGCACGAAAGCGUGGGGAGCAAACAGGAUUAGAUACCCUGGUAGUCCACGCCCUAAACGAUGUCUACUAGUUGUCGGGUUUUAAUUAACUUGGUAACGCAGCUAACGCGUGAAGUAGACCGCCUGGGGAGUACGGUCGCAAGAUUAAAACUCAAAGGAAUUGAC
rnacentral:rRNA from 1 species